rnacentral:lncRNA from 1 species
AUACUAUAUAUCUAUACGUUUUUAUAACUGUUAAAACCGCACCGCAAUUAAUGUAUGUAGCGGCUAGAGGCUUGUUCAAAAUGAAUCCUCCAAUGAUUAUAGUGCCUAAAUCCAUUGAGGAAGGCAUCGAGACUUUGCUCGAGGUUCCUAGAGCUAAGGCACAAUCCUGUUAGCUUGGACAUAGGAGGACAACCUCUAGCAUCCAACUACCCAUUGCCGCCCAAGGUUUGUGGUUUUUUUUUGUGUGUGUUGUUUGGUGGCAUAGUGAUACAGUAGCUUCAUCAGGUGUCAGUAGAACCAUGAGGAGAAUUCUUUCAGUGGAGUUGGCUUUUGAACCAAAGAUUGUAUAUGUGAGAAAAACAUCUAAAGUUAAAAUGUGUCAAAGGUUACGACAUCCUCAUUCAAAUAGCUAAUGAUAACAUGGGUUUGUCAGUGUUGGUUCUUCUCGGUAGAUAUAUGCUUAAGUUCCGUUUCUUAGGUCAGCAAAAUGGUGCAACGACAUCUGACAUGAGGGAAUAAGUAGGUGGGGGAUCUCACGAUAUCUAAAAAUCAUUAUUUUGCAUUUUUUUCUGAGAGCAUUCUGAUUAGCUACACCGUGUGUUAUCCUUAGGCUAUGCUCUAUUAUUGUCUUGGUGCGUCACAUUCUCAACUUGUAAACUAGAGUGUUCAUAUUUUUGUUCUAGGGUGGAUUGUCAAUGUAUGUAGCGGCUAAAAUUUUCUAAUCUUUUAUAUAGUUUCCUUGUAAAAGGUAUCUUAUUGCUUGGUCAAAGACUGCUGGCAUUAUGAUACCAGUUAGAUUCAUCAGGUGUCAGCAGAAAUAUGAGGAGCAUCCUUUCAUUAGAGUUGGCUUUUGAACCAAAUAUUGUUUAUAUGAGAAAAAUCAUAUAUUACCAAGGGGGUAUAGGAGUCCAGCAUCCAAAAGCUAGAUUGUGUUAGGUUAUAGUGUCCUCAUUCAAAAUUGUGUUGGUUCUUAUCGGUAAUCAUAUGCUUAAGUUUCGGUUUUCAGGUCAGCGAAUAAUGCAACAUCAUCUGACAUUAAGGAGUAAGAAGGUGGGCUCGUAAGAUAUCUAAAAAAGGUUUCUCUUAACAACCUCAGUAUUCUCUGAAGAUUGUGGGCUUAAUCCACUUCAAGAUUCUGCAAACGAGACUGCUUCUUCCAUGAGGCAAGUGUCUAUUGUUUUCUCUGAUAUGUCGUCACUCUUUUGUCAUCAUUGAGGUUUAGGCCCUUGACAGAGGCAAAGAGGCAAGAGAAGGAGGACGUUAAUUAAACAAUUAGAUAAAAGAAAUGUUAUUCCUCAAAUCUGUUUUCAAGUAGGUGAGUAGAUCGAAACCCAGAACAACCUCUUUUUUUUUGCUUAAAACCCCAAGAACUACUUAUAGACCUAACUUUAACAACAACAAUACAAAAGAAAUGUACUAAGCACACAAUACAAAACGAAGCAUGAUGGUCUAACUAACUCCAGCGAAUAUAAGCGAGUGGUAAGGAAAAACACUUUCCUUGUAAAGAAGAAAGAAAAUUCACAUUAAUUAGGUUAGAAGAAAUCAUAAAAGAAAAUUCAAAACUUUUGAUCUCAUGGUUGUGUGGACUAAACUUGGACUUUUCUUUAAUCAUAUAGUUCAUUUUUCAUUUUCAAGGAAGAUCGAUACUUUUACUUAUGUUCUUUUUAUUUAAUUGUAAUGACACUCCCAGAGUUAAAACCAGUAUUGAAAGAAGCAAAUGGUUUUGCCUCUCCAAGUAGGCAACUAUGCCUCCCAAAGAAAAAGAGACAUCAUGCUCACUCCAUGCCUAUAAAUACUCCUCAAAUCAAUAACUUAUCCAUUCAAAUUGUGUCUGAGAACAAAAAGGCAAAAAAAAAAAAGAGAAGAAGAUGGGUUUAAUCAAAGAGAAAGAGAUGGAGAUUCCAGUCAUUGAUUUUAGUGAACUGGAUGGAGAAAACAGAACCAAGACUAUGUCUCUUCUUGAUCAUGCAUGUGAUAAGUGGGGCUUCUUCAUGGUAUGUACAAAUCUUUAUCCACAAAUCAAGUUCUUAAGUAUGCAUAUGUAAACGUUCCUAGAUCCAGUUCUAGUGUAGACCCUUAUUAAAUGCGGGCUGAUGAAUUUUCAGGUUGAUAAUCAUGGAAUUGAUAAAGAAUUGAUGGAUAAAGUAAAACAGCUGAUUAACUCUCAUUAUGAGGAGCAUUUGAAAGAGAAGUUUUACCAGUCAGAGAUGGUCAAGGCUUUGAGUGAAGGCAAAACGUCAGAUGCUGAUUGGGAAAGCACUUUCUUCGUUUGGCAUAAGCCGACUUCAAACAUAUCCAAAGUCUCCAACAUUUCAGAUGAACUCAUGUAAGUAACUAAAAAAAUUAUAUAUCCAAAUUUUUACCAAUUUCUUUAUUUGGACAAAGUUUUUACCAUUUAUAUGUCUUGCCUAUUAUAAUUAACAAUGUGUGGGGAUGAAACUUAUAUUGCAGCAAGACAAUGGAUGAAUAUGUUUCUCAACUGCACAAGUUUGCAGAAAGGCUCUCUAAACUCAUGUGUGAAAAUCUUGGUCUCCCUCGAGAACACAUAGUGAAUGCGUUCUCCGGUAUAGAAGGUCCAGUUUUUGGGACAAAAGUGGCUAAAUACCCAGAAUGCCCUCAUCCGGAGCUCAUUAGAGGGCUGAGAGAACAUACUGAUGCUGGAGGGAUCAUAUUGCUCUUGCAGGAUGAUCAAGUGCCUGGUCUUGAGUUCUUGAAAGAUGGGAAGUGGGUUCCUAUCCCACCAUCGAAGAACAAUACCAUUUUUGUCAAUACCGGUGAUCAAGUCGAGAUAUUGAGUAAUGGGAAGUACAAGAGUGUUGUACACCGUGUGAUGACGAUGAAGCAAGGAAGUAGACUGUCGAUAGCUACAUUUUACAAUCCAGCUGGGGAUGCCAUAAUAUCUCCAGCUCAAGAGAUGUUGUACCCAAGUGGUUACCGAUUCCAAGACUACCUUAAGCUUUAUUCAACCACUAAGUUUGGAGACAAAGGCUCUAGAUUUAAUACCAUGAAGAAAAUGGAGAAUGGGGAUUCCGUCUAGGAUGCAUCGCCUGAACGUAACGCUGCUUUUGUAUUUCACAUGAAACUCUAUUUCUAUUAAAACUUUGUCUUCUUGUUGUGUUUCUUUCAUAAAGGAAUAACAAUUAUGCCAGGAUCAUGCUGAUUCAACUAUUUUGCUUUGUUAAGAAAAAAUAACUCUUUUUACUCAAGUGAUUUUGUACUAGGCAAGUCGUUGAUGGCAACUUUAAAAACAUUAGUUUGAACUUUGAAGGUCUUUUAUAUUGUACUUUUAUUUUUAAGGAUGUCCUUAAGAUAUUAGUAUGUUUUGGCUAAAAAGUUAUAUAUCGUUUAAUUCUGUUUAUCUUUUAAAACAACAAAAACACAAAAGAUAUUUCAUGUUAAGCGAUAAUUCAAUAUGAUUAAGAGAAUGAUAACCUAGUUAGUAAUUAGUAAUUACCAACAUCCGUAUGGUCAUAAAAGAGAACCCAAGAUAAUGAAAAAAAAAUGUCAAACCAUAAAACUUGGACAAUGGUGAAACAAAAACAGUCUUUUUAUUUAAGUUUUCGUAGGAUCAAACUCCCACGGCUGCUUCUUGUAAUAGCAGACCACAAACUAAACCAAGUGGUCUUAUUUGUAGCAACUUCUUUUUCUUCACCUUUUAACUUGGCAUGUAACUGAGCAAAUUCCAGCAAAUUUUUUUUUUUUUUUUGCUUGUACUAAAUAGCUUAAUUUUGGUGAAGAAACCAGCAAAUUUUCAUUUUAUUUUAAUAAAUAAAUGAUAUCUCAUUCAACUUUAAUGUUACUGAAUGAUACAUGGAGAUAAUAAAUAAUACUCCAAGUAAAGAUUUUUUUAGAUUUUUUUCUUGUUCCACAAAGAUAGAUUUUCUAUAUUGUUAAGGUAUUUUUUUAUACUUUUGAAAAACAUUAAUUGAGAAUAUUUGAAUUAAUUAAAUUUCAUUGGUGGAAAGUUAUUGAAAAGUGUAUAAUAAAGUAAAAGAUAAAUUAAAUUAUAAAUAUUUAUUAAAUUAUUAAUAAGCGUCCAUACUCUAAAAAAUCUUACUUUUGCGAACAGAGAGAGUAUUCUUUUGAUGGUACUACGGAUGCUACAACUUUAAGAUAGUGCUGUUGAUCAUCUGGACUAAAUAGGUUGACAAAGAGGAAUCCCAAGCCCUUAAUCUUGAACUGUACAUAGAGUGGUAGAUUACUAACUUAGGCUUCGAAUGUUACGAACUGCCUCGCCCCGCAGUUAACAGUAACAAAAAUCUCUACAUAUACUAUAUAUCUAUACGUUUUUAUAACUGUUAAAACCGCACCGCAAUUAAUGUAUGUAGCGGCUAGAGGCUUGUUCAAAAUGAAUCCUCCAAUGAUUAUAGUGCCUAAAUCCAUUGAGGAAGGCAUCGAGACUUUGCUCGAGGUUCCUAGAGCUAAGGCACAAUCCUGUUAGCUUGGACAUAGGAGGACAACCUCUAGCAUCCAAC